AUUCAUUAGCCCAUUUAAGUGCAAGAUCUAGCCAUCUAUUUCGUUCUAAUCCAAUGACCAUCAUCUUUCCCACCACCAUAUAAAAUACUCAAUUAUAAAAACCCCGAAAAAAGAGCAAAAAAAGAGGUUGAGAAGAAAAAAAACAAAAAGACCCCAACAAAAACGGUGGUUUCUUUGUUGGCUAAGGAAUUUAGAUUAGCCAUUUCCCUACCCAAAAUGGAGUAAAUCUGAUUGGAUCUUAUUUGAUUUGUAAAGAUGCGCGCGCACACUCUCAAGGCGACAGAAGAAGAGCGAAAAGCAAAAGGGCCAGGCGUUGCACCAUUUUCUUGGUUUCGAGUUUCGGGUGCCGAAUUAAGGUCACCGGUGAUAAUUUUAGUUGGAGGUUCCGAUCCCGAUUCAUUUUUCCGGCCGCAAGGGUCUCUUUGUUUCAGUCCGUGUAACUGCUGGAAUAUUAUUACUAUAAAGAGAUUUCAGGUUCAUUUCUCACUUUCAUGUAUUUAAUGAGUCAUAACUGAUGUUGAUUUACAUGUGUUUAUGUGAAAAUAGUAAUUUAGAUCUGUUUCGUAUUUUCAAGUGUUGAAGUUAUUUUCAGUAGAUCUGUGUUUUUUGUGUUAAAUAUAAGUCAAAGGUGCAAUUACGAUGACAAAAACAGUAAUGUUUUAGCUCAAUUUUUUCCAUACGUGUCUUUUCAUUUUUUAUGCAAAGGCCAUAAUAAUUUCUAUGUGGUGAUUUAAUUUUAUGAGGGUGUCUACUUAUUAUUGAUUCAAGAUUGCAUUUUUAAUUCGUCCCAGUUCAUUUUGUGAAAGCUUGAUGUCCUCCAUUGUCAAUUGUAAUGUGGGAUUUAGCAAGUCUAGCUUUAAAUGCUUGCCACCUUUGUGUCAUUCAACCGAAAAGUGAUAAGGACGACACAUAGUAGUAGAUAUCUUGAUUAUUGUGGACUUUGAGUUAGGUAACGGGUUCAAGCUAAAAGGUAUUCCUUUUGUUUGGCCCGAACUUGAACUUGAAGUUGGAAUUCUAUUAUAAUUAAUUAGGACAUUUUAUUUUCUUUUAGAGACAAAAAAAAAAAGAAAAUAUAGUAGCUUUUUAGGUUCACCUUUAUAAAAAUGAGACAGCCUUGCCCAAUAAAAUACAAAAUUGCGGGGCCCUCAAUAAAGGUCUAAAAAAUUUUAAAAAAUCGGGAAGGGCCGUUUAGCGAAUUUUACGACCCUCCCAAAAGAUUACAACGCGUUAGACCCUAUUAGGCGCGACUUUAAUAAAUCACAUUCCUAAAUACGGGUGAGCAUUUUAUGCGGCCCAAAUCCAAAUUCUAAAAUGCUGAAUAGAGUGUACCUAGGAUUGCGGGUUCAUUUGAUGCGGCGCAAUCCGAAAUCACACUUUAAACGACGUUCACUUUCUCUUAAAAAUAUUAUAUUAAAUAAAAGCGGUUAAGCAUAAAAUUGACACAUAGGCACUUCAUGUAAUAAAAUCAGAUAAAAGUUAAAUAUAACAGUUGAGCGACUAUGGUAGAACCACGGAACCCGGGAAUGCCUAACACCUUCUCCCGGGUUAACAGAAUUCCUUAUCUGGAUUUCUGGUUCGCGAACAGAGUCAUCUUUUUUCUCGGUUCUGGAUUCAACCGGUGACUUGAGACACCAUUAAUCUCCCAAGUGGCGACUCUGAAUAAAUAAUAAUAAAAUCCUGUUCCAAUCGUCCUUUAAGUGGAAAAACUCCUUUACGCCCCUUUGCGGGGGUGUAUAGCGAAAAAGGAGGUGGAAUAUUUUAGCUCAAAAAUCCCACAAAAAAAUAUGAUUGUCCUUUCAUUUUUAGCUUUCAUAUUAGUUUCAGCAUUCAAAUACACCAAAAAUACAAAAAAAGAACAUACAGAAAAAUAGAAAACAACAAAUAUCUACUGUUUCAUUGAGCGUGAUUAGAUUCUGGGUUCCUCUUUUUGGUUUUCUGUUAUAAUUUGGUCUGGGGUGCAUUGUGGACUGGUUUGGGUCAAUUCCUGCUAGUUUCUAGCUGUUCUGUGGAUUCUCUUGGAUUAUCUACUGGUUUUUGUUUUCAAAAGCAUUUUCUGAGUCUUGAAGGCUGCUGUGUCCUUAUUGAUGUGCUCUGGUUGUUUGAAUUUGUUGCUGUCCUCUACUUUCCCUUUGUUACUUUGCUUUCCAGGUAUCUCUACAGCUUCUCUUGUAAACUAUGAAAGGACAUGUGAAUCUGAUUUGUAUUUUCAAUGGCAAAGUGCAUUUGGAAUAGCUGAAUGAGUGGGUUGUUACAUUAAGUUUAGUCUAGUAUAUUCCUUGGUUUAAUUCAAUUGGAGUUUGUACGAAAGAAUUUGGUACUACAUUAGGACCUAUGUGAAUUGCUUGAACUGAUUGAUUGCUUGGGUGCAUGUUUUGUAGACCAUAGUCGAUUUUAUUUUUGUAAGUUCGAACAGGUAAGAUGUGGACUGAUAUUGUGAUAGUUGAUGGUAUUAUCUGAGCUGAUUAUGGUACUUUAAAAUGCUCAUUGAAUUCUGAUUGUAAUUGUGGGUUAAUUCGUGUUAAUAAUUCAAGUUAAGUUUAAUUUGC
rnacentral:lncRNA from 1 species